rnacentral:hammerhead_ribozyme from 1 species
AUCCGGCUGACGAGUCCCAUGUAGGACGAAACGCACUUCCUGGAU